rnacentral:rRNA from 1 species
UACGGGGGGGGGCAAGCGUUGUUCGGAAUUACUGGGCGUAAAGGGUUCGUAGGUGGCCAACUAAGUCAGACGUGAAAUCCCUCGGCUUAACCGGGGAACUGCGUCUGAUACUGGAUGGCUAGAGGUUGGGAGAGGGAUGCGGAAUUCCAGGUGUAGCGGUGAAAUGCGUAGAUAUCUGGAGGAACACCGGUGGCGAAGGCGGCAUCCUGGACCGGCAUUGACGCUGAGGCGCGAAAGCCAGGGGAGCAAACGGG